GCUGCAGAGCCUUCUUCAUUCCG
rnacentral:siRNA from 1 species